AGAAUCAACGCUGGCGGCGUGCCUAACACAUGCAAGUCGCACGAGAAAGUGGAGCAAUCCAUGAGUACAGUGGCGCACGGGUGAGUAACACGUGAAUCAUCUACCUCCGAGUGGGGAAUAACCUAGAGAAAUCUGGGCUAAUACCGCAUAACACUUACGAGUCAAAGCAGCAAUGCGCUUGGAGAGGAGUUCGCGGCCGAUUAGCUAGUUGGCGGGGUAAUGGCCCACCAAGGCGAUGAUCGGUAUCCGGCCUGAGAGGGCGCACGGACACACUGGAACUGAAACACGGUCCAGACUCCUACGGGAGGCAGCAGUGGGGAAUUUUGCGCAAUGGGGGAAACCCUGACGCAGCAACGCCGCGUGGAGGAUGAAAUCCCUGGGAUGUAAACUCCUUUCGAUAGGGAAGAUAAUGACGGUACCUAUAGGAGAAGCCCCGGCUAACUUCGCGCCAGCAGCCGCGGUAA
rnacentral:rRNA from 1 species